rnacentral:rRNA from 1 species
UAUGGAGGGCGCGAGCGUUGAUCGGAAUCAUUGGGCGUAAAGCGCGUGUAGGCGGCUUGGCAAGUCGAGUGUGAAAGCCCGGGGCUCAACCCCGGAACUGCGCUCGAAACUGCCUCGCUAGAGUCCCGGAGGGGAGGGCGGAAUUCCCGGUGUAGAGGUGAAAUUCGUAGAUAUCGGGAGGAACACCAGUGGCGAAGGCGGCCCUCUGGACGGUGACUGACGCUGAGACGCGAAAGCGUGGGGAGCAAACAGG